UGGGGCUGAGUAGCCCCUACGGGGCGUCGAUGAAAGCUCCGCGUACGCCAGUGGUCAGCA
rnacentral:snoRNA from 19 species